AGUUUUUAAUUUGUCUCAGUUUGAAUAUUGAUAAUUGAUAAAUAAUCCACAUAUAACAGUUGUAUGUAUUAUUUAUGAACAAUAAAAUCUAUGCAGCAAAAAUAAAGUAACUAAAAUAUUCAACUCCUAUUCAAGAAUCAAAUUGAUAGAGUAAGCUGCAAUUUAUGGUGAAAGUAGUUUUACCAUAAGGUUUUCUCCUAAUUAUUUUAAGAAUAUAUUUAUUUCCCACAAUUGGUUAAUAAAAUUGUGAAUGAAUACAUUUUUUUUGUCUACAACUUGUAUUAUUGGGUUUAGACUCGAAAAUGACACAUUGAUAACAUUUGCACAAAUAACUAGAUCAUAUGUUUUUGUCAUAUUUUGAGCACAAUUUGUGCAUAUUUCAAGCAAAUUUUGAACAUAUAUCAAAUCCGUCAUAACCAAUUAAUGUUAUUAUUAGUACUUGUUUUCAUUAUAAUAAUGACGUCAUAAUCAAUACUGAACGUACCAGCGAAAUGAUGGUACAUAUCGGCUUUAAAAUAGUAUUCACCAAAUAUUGCUGGAGGCUUGUAAUCUUUUUUGCUGAAGACAAGUCAAUUAGGGCCAUUUCCAUUUGACUAAAUCUAUUUGUGCCUAAUGGAAAAAUAGAGAUAUAUACUUUAAGUUGAUGAAGCUUUUCGUUUGCUUUUAUGUUCCUAAUGGCAACGGUAUCAACUCGAUGAUUUAGACUCUUAAGGAACUUUACCAUAUCUUUAUGGAGAAUUAGGAAGUUUGUGGUGUUGGAUAAAGGGUAGAAGGGAGGAACCGCGAAAAAGAGUGUUCUUGUGAAUGGAUACACACAGAAAUACUAUGGAUUCGGGUUUUUUUCCUGCUCACAAGAUGAACAGUGAAUAGAAGUGGUAGAGAAUGUAGAUAUUAGUUCUGUUAAAGCUGAAUGUGUACAAAACAAUAUGGAAAGUUAGAUAAAUAAGAUCUUUAGGUCGGACCAAUUGUUAGAAGCCAAAAAUAAUCUCUAAACUCUCUUUAUUAAAACUGAGAAAAUGAUAGCGUAACAAGAUUAGAGUAAAACUCCUCAAAGAGAAACUACGUCCUCUUCUCCUCGGCCUAAUUCGACAGAAUCCUCCAAAACUCUCAAUUGCUUGGAUGCUUUUCAAAAACGAGACUACAUCCUUAUUUAUAAGUAAACGUAAACAAGCAUUCAAAGAAAAUAAGGAAAAAUAAAAAAUUAUAGGCAACUUCCUAAAUCUAAACAGAAACGUUGAUUGUUUUCCAAUUCACAGAUUGACUUGUUCUUGAUUAUUCUUUUUCCACAUACGUGAAUAAACAAUCCACGGUUUAGACUUCUAGAAACAUUCAUAUCAGAUACUUCAGUUUUUUUUUUCACUUUUUUUUUGUUGUUGUGCGAAAUCAGAUACUUAACUAUACGACAUAUGCAACUAUGCAAAUCUGAAAUGUACUUACAGUUUGUUGUGAAGACGAAAAGCAAGAUCACGAUUAUGAUUCUUGAACUGAUCAUCAUUCUUUUCUUUUCCUCUGCUUAUAACUAAUGGCUCAAGUUUCUUCAUUUUGGUUUAUGUGUAUUAUUUUAUUAAAUUACGAUAGAAGAAAUUAGGAAUUAAAGUCUAACUACUAGAAUCUGCAAAAUCAGAUCAUAUAUUGUUUUCCUAAUUUAGUUCAAGGCCAAUCUCUACUAGAGUCUGCAAUAUUAGUGUGCAGGAGGGGGGAAGUAAUCAUUUAAACCAGCAAACAGUAAAACACUGAUGUGUCGUUUUUACAAGAACUGGUAAAAGAACAUCCUGUUUUGUCCAAAACGAAAAAGACCACCCGGUUAUUGGGACUCUUAGUUAAAUGAGAAUUCCAAAUAUCAAAUUAAUCAACCAGUUUGGAUUAAUAACCGGUUUUAAUCCAAUUAUUGGGACUGCUUGUAAACCUCAUAAUAAAACUAAUAUG
rnacentral:sRNA from 1 species